AUGGCCCCCAUAGGCUCUUGGGGGGGGCCCUUUCAUCUGCACACACCCCACCUACUGCUGGCCUGUGGGUCAGCCUGUCCAUCUGUCCAUCCAGCAUUUGUGGCUCACUGGACGUGUUGGGCUCUUCCUAAGCCCCUGGCAAGGCUCUGGGCAAGGGUGUGUGUGUCUGAGACAGGCAGGGCACAUCUGGGGGCUCUCCCAGGGUCUGUCAGGGCCUGGUGGGGCACAGUGAACAGACAGCAGCCCCCAAGUAAGGAUGCUAGUCGAGGUGGCUGGUGCAGCAGAGGCCUCUGGCUCCGGAGACCCUGUAGCUGCCCUCCAGACAGGCGGUCCCCAAAGGGACCUGAAGAGCCCAAAAGGAGCAGAGUGGUGUCUGACAGCAGGAUGCUGAUACCCUGGAUACUCUUCAGGAGGACAGCAGCCUCCAGAUGGAGAAUCAAGUUCAAAUCAUUCUCCUGCCUCAGCCUCCCGAGUAGCUGGGAUUACAGUCAGAGGUCACGGGUCGAUUCACUCCACAACUGAGAAAGCCACUUGAUGCUGGAAAACAAAGAAUCAGCGUGUUCCAAGCAAAAGAGUCAGAAGAGGUGACUUCAGGGGUCAGCGCCUGUUUUCGGUCUCCCAAGUUGCGAUCCGUGCUCUCUUCAUUCAUCCUUUGAAGAGAAUCAAAACAAGACAAUUGUCUGCACGUCAGAGCACCCUAGGGUAGCACAGUCUAAAGCACGACCGACAAAGGAACGUGGCCACCUCUGUGGUCUGCGAUGGCCUCACGUGGCCACCUCUGUGGUCUGCGAUAGCCUCGCACGAGAACCGUGAUCACGACGGAACACUCAGAUAUCAGGGUUUUGGAAACCGCGCGCCAUUCUGGAACACAUAUUAAUGUUACUCACUAAAAUAUAACCUGAAGAUCAAACGCCACCUUAUUUUCAUCAUUCUGUGUAACUAAACAUGUCUUAAAACACUUAAUAGGCGGCCGGGCACGGUGGCUCACGCCUGUAAUCCCAGCACUUUGGGAGGCUGAGGCAGGUGGAUCACCUGAGGUCACAAGUUUGAGACCGGCCUGGCCAACAUGGCAAAACCCCGUCUCUACUAAGAAUCUAAAAGAGUAGCUGGGGGUGGUGGCACACACCUGUAAUCCCAGAUACUCAGAAGGUGGAGGCAGAGGCUACAGUGAGCCAAGAUUGUGCCACGCCACUCCAGCCUGGGUGACAGGGCAAGACUCCAUCUCAAAAACCAAAAACAAAAACAACCCUCCCCAAAAAACAUUUAAUAGAAUUUCAGGUUAUGUAAGUCAUCCAUAUAGCCAAAAUGAUGACUCAAGUUUUUAAAAAAGCAAAAGUUUUUACUCAUUAAGAGGGCCGGGCCAGGCGCGGUGGCUCAAGCCUGUAAUCCCAGCACUUUGGGAGGCUGAGGCGGGUGGAUCAUGAGGUCAAGAGAUCGAGACCAUCCUGGUCAACAUGGUGAAACCCCGUCUCUACUAAAAAUACAAAAAAUUAGCUGGGCAUGGUGGUGCGUGCCUGUAAUCCCAGCUACUCAGGAGGCUGAGGCAGGAGAAUUGCUUGAACCCAGGAGGCGGAGGUUGUGGUGAGCCGAGAUCACGCCAUUGCACUCCAGCCUGGGUGACAAGAGCGAAACUCCGUCUCAAAAAAUAAAUAAAUAAAUAAAUAAAUAAAUAAAUAGGGA
rnacentral:lncRNA from 13 species